AAAAAAAAUCCAUUAGAUCCUUCGCCUAGAGAGAGAAACGGCGCACCUCCCCCUCUUUCUUCUUCUUCAUUUUUUUUUUUCAAAAUCAUACACACGACUUACACACAGUAACAACUAAAUUCAAAGCUAGAAAUCUUCAACUAGAAGUCCGAAAAAGAAUCAAAAAAAAAAAAGUAAAGAAAGAUGAGCGAGGAUUUUGAAGUUAAAGAAUGGUAGGAUUCAAUUGGGACUCUCAAAGGUUUUUAAUCAAUGUGUGUUCAUCAUGAAAUUUCCGGGUUCCAAAGAGUAAUUCGAGUGCAAAGCCUCUGAAGAUUGCUGUUUGUUAUUGUUCCUGUUCUGCUGUUCAUCAUGCUCUGUUUGUACUCGGCUCUUGUUUAAAGCCUGCUUAGCUACUCUCAAGCCUUUAUUUGGCAAGCAUCUCAGUUUCAGUUGCAAGUCUAGGUACAUACCUCUUCACUUGUAUCUUUAGUUCUGAUUUAUGUUGAAGUGUGAGUUUUCUUUCCCUUUUCUUUUCUUGGAAAUUAAUUGCUGCAGUGUUUAAGUUUACUGUUUGGUUAGUUUAGAACACAAAUUAAUUGUUUAGCCUCAAUAUGGUAACUGCACAAAAUUUCAUUGUUUUGCCUAUUAAGGAGAGAUUGUUAGCAGUGUUUUUGUGACUAAAAAUAUGUUGAACCCCACAUGUUUUGGCUAAAAUUUGAUUUGUGUAUCACAUCAGUAGUUAUAUGCUGUUAAAUUCGAAAUUGAAUUGUUGAAAUAUGGGUGUUUCCUUUGUGUGCUAAAAAUGCAGAUUAGUUUGAGAUGCCAGGACUAAAUGAGAUUCCAUUUUGAAACAAAGGAAAAUGGCCUUUUUUUUAUGGAAUAUGCAUUUGUGCAAAGUUGAAUAGCUACAAGUUAAAAACAGAACUUUCGAAGAUACAUAUAGAGGACUUUCAUUUCUAAUUAGAGCAUGAAUGUUGUCCUUAAUUGAUUUUAGAGACCAUUGAUGUAUUUUAUAAUUCUUGUGUGGAUGAAUUUGAACCCAAAGAUAAUUGUAGUGUAUUGAGAGAUCAUUUGCUUAAUGUAGAAUUACGGUGUUAAAUUGGUCAUUUAAAUUGUACUAUACGGUGAGUAUGAUAUAAACAUAUGGAUUUACUGUAGGCAACACAUAGGCUUAUGGGUAUAGAGUCAUGUUAAUUGGAGUUCAUGAACUCUAAUCUUAAAACCAAGCUUUUGGGCCUCUUCAAUAUGGAUUCAUAAGCCCAGAUGUAGGCAGACAAGACUAAAUUAACCCCCCC
rnacentral:lncRNA from 1 species